CCCCUCCUGACUCCCUCCUCUCCCACCCAUCGCCGCCACCCACCACCUGCCACCAGUCUUCCUCCCGCCACAGCUCACCGCCGGCCGUCCCCUUCCCUCCACUCACCUCGCAGCUCGGGCCAGCCACCAGAUCUGCCGCACCCCCCAUCCACCCAUCCCUCUCGCAACCUGUCUCUCUCUCAUGAAAUCCCUCGCGCAGCCACAAUCCGCCGAUUACGGCGACGUCCGCCACCGCGCAGCACACUCAUGAGCUUGUCUGUGAUCCCCGCCCCCAGGUCCUCCAGGCUGCCUAGAUCUGCCGCUCCCAGUGUCCAGCGCUCGCCCGCGACCCCUAGCCGUGGCUAGGGUUUCGGCUACAGUGUCACGACCAUCGCCGGCGUGUCUCCGUCGGUUCCUCUCCGUCCCACACCGUGCCCUCUCCACCUCCUGGAUGGAGCCCCCUAGCUCGAUGUGCUCGCGCGCGUUGGGGCUGUAUGGUGGCGACCCUGACCUCCUCUGUCGCGAUCCCGACCUCCUUUGCACAAUAAUCCUGAACAGUUGCAGGUUCAAAUGGAUGAUUUUGAUGCCUACACUUAUCUUCUUUGUAGGCAUGUAUUUAGUCGAGAAAAUGCAUUGUGUUCAUACAAGUAUUCUUUGUUGUUUCAUGUGAUUGACAUAUUGAUUUAUUAGUGUAUAUCUUGAUUUGGGUAACUGACAGUUUGAAUCUAGAUUUUCUAGAGUCUGAAUAUGGUAUCUCACUUCUUGAAUUUUGUGCACAUCAAAAUGUAAAUGCUGCUCUCUCACUCCCGUUUUACUGUUUUGCACUGCCUUGUAAAUUACUCUUGGACCUGCAAUGGUGAUCGUUGUUCUAAGAUGUGAAUCUGAAUUGCAAUUGUGUCUAGGGUUCAAGCAGAACAUGUUUGUUACAUGUUCUGUAUGGCGUUUGGACACAAUUUAGAAAAUCAUUGAUCCCGUCGACUCUGUCUUUUACGUGUUAAGAGCUAACAUGUAUUUUCGUAGUCGUACUUCUGCCUUCAGAGAAUGUUGGACAGCCAAAUCAAUAUCCACUUGGUAUAUCCCACAUUCCAUAUUUCUGGACAAUGGAGUUGGAACUUGCCUCUCAUCAGUUAUUCUAUUCGGCAUACCAUGUGUAGUGCGUUCUCUAUGAUAUGUUUUAAUUUUGUAUCAUCGCUUUGCAAUAAGCUAAGACUUUGUUUUGUGAUAUACGAAUAUACAAUAUAUCAAAUGCUUACUGGUGGAACUGUUUGCAUCUUGCAUAAAUUUCGAAAUUAAUAGCUUAUAAGGAUAUUCUAGGCACAGGAAAAUAUGUACCAUGCUUGAAAAGGCAACUAUUAAAAUCACUACAUUUUGAAUAAUAACUUAGGUUUAUUAUUGGCUAAAGAGAUCUGUUUUUAUAGACACACCUAAAAAACUAGGAUCCAACUAAAGGAAAUAGAGAUUAAUAAUAAUAAAAGAUUGAUACUACUGGUAUCUAUCUCAAUUUUGGUAAAUGAUAGUGUGAAUCUAACAUCUAACGGACUUCUUAACUUUUUUUACAUCUAAGUCUUAAUAUUGUAGCUCACAGUCUGAAUAUUGUGCUUGCAGGUGCAUUCACAUCACCUGAUCUUGUGCAGGCUUUGGAAAAAUACUCGACUGUUUGUGCCGCUUUGAAAUCUAACAUCCAACAUUCUUAAGAAGGAAGCAAGCAUGAACAUAACGAAAUUAUGUCGCCUAGUGCUUGGUAUGAGGUCUUAUCUGAAGCCAAUUCUCUUGGUCUGAUGAUCUGAACCCCACCUUUUAUCAUUGUUGGGAGAUGGAUGAGCUUGAGGGCAUAGCCGAGCAGCUGUAGAAUUGGAUCUCCACGAUCGAAUAUAUUCUGUGGUGCUAGUUAGGUUGUAAUGGUUGAUGUAAACGUUCUUGCAAUGUUGCUUUAUUAAUGAUGUAUAUUCUGUAGAUACAGUUGAUGGUUGCAUAAACUGGCAUUAUGAUCUGUGUAAAACUAGCAUUAUGAGUAAAACUGGCAUUAUAAUACA